rnacentral:lncRNA from 1 species
AUCAUACAAUCCUGCAGACAAAAACAGGAUGAACCAGUUUCAGAUGAAAGAACUCGCUUAGAAACAUUGUGAAACAUUCUGGGCUGAAAGUACAGCAAGGAGUAUUUCCUGCAGGGACUGAAAUGGCAUUAACCUGUCUUUAUAAAUGGACCCCAUUCUGAACUUAACAGUUUAAUUUAAAAAAAAAACAUAAACCGGAAUGGGAAGUUACAGAUAUGGUUGAAUUGGUGGCCUUAACUGAACAUUUUGAGAAGACUCUAGUGUAAGAAAUAAAGCCAAAAGGCUAAUAAGCUUAUAUCUCUCCAAUUACAACAGUUACGGGGGCCCAGACCGAAAGGAUCUUCUCGUUUUUAAUUUAAAUCACAACCAAGAGGUCCUAAAACAAGAAAUUAUUUACUCUAAGCUGUCUGCCUUCAUUACAAACCACAGGGGAAUGCCACAGGGGUUUACUAAAGCCUUCCUUACUUUGGGGAAACUGGAAAAAAGAUUGUCCACUUUUAUGUCAGUCCACCAAUAAGCCUCCUCCCUUUGUGAUAUGUGAUAUGGUUUGGCUGUGUCCCCACACAAAUCUCAUCUUGAAUUCUCACAUGUUGUGGGAGGGACCCAGUGGGAGGUAAUUGAAUCAUGAGGGCAAGUCUUUCCCGUGCUGUUCUCAUAAUAGUGAAUAAGUCUCACAAGAUCUGAUGGUUUUAUAAAGAGGAGGUUCCCUGCACAAGUUCUCUCCUUUUGCCUGCCGCCAUCCAUGACUUGCUCCCCCUUGCCUUCUGCCAUGGUUGUGAGGCCUCCUCAGCCAUGCAGAACUGUAAAUCCAUUAAACCUCUUUUUCAUCCCAGUCUCGGUUAUGUAUUUAUCAGCAACAUGAAAAUGGACUAAUACAGUCUAUUUCACCUCCAAUGAAAGCACAUGAUAUUUUAGUUCUCGUGAUGAUAGUCAACAUGAAUGAGGCUCCGAGAGAUUCUCCAAUUUUGUAAAAUGCUUAAAUAAACAUGGAGAAACAAGAGUUAAAAUAAAUAAACAAAUGGAGAGGCAGGUCAUGGUGGCUCACACCUGUAGUCCCAGCGCUUUGGAAAGCCAAGGCGGGCAGAGAACCUGAGCCCAUGAGUUUGAGACCAGACUGGGCAAUAAGGCAAAAUCCCAUCUCUACCAAAAUAAUAAUAAUAAUAAUAAUAAUAAUAAUACAAAAAUUAGCCAGGCAUGGUGGUGUGUGCCUGUAGUCCUAGCUAUUGGUGAGACUAAGGUGGUAGAAUCUCUUGAGCCCAGGAGACAGAGAUUGUAGUGAGCUGAGAUUGUGCCCUUGCAUUCCAGCCUGGGUGAUGGAGCAAGACCCUGUCUCAAAAAAAUAAUAAUUUUUUUUUUAAAUGAAGAAUCUUGCUGGGCAUGGUGGCUCACCCUGGUAAUCUCAGCACUUUUGGGAGGCGAGGUAGGUGGAUCACGAGGUCAGGAGUUUGAGACUGGCCUGGCCAAUAUGGUAAAACCCCGUCUCUACUAAAAAUACAAAAAAUUUAGCUGGGUGCAGUGCUGCGCGCCUGUAGUCCCAGCUGCUCAGGAGGUUGAGGCAGGAGAAUCACUUGAACCCAGGAGGCGGAUGUUACGGUGAGCCGAGAUUGCCCCACUGCACUCCAGCCUGGGCGACAGAGCAAGACUCCAUCUCAAAAAAAAAAAAAAAGAAGAAGAAGAAGAAGAAUCUUGUACAAUCUUAGUGGAUAUCAGAACCACCUCAUCCAUAAAUCCCACUUUAAUAUGCCAACAAAUCCUGCAGAUUGAACAGGUCAUUUCUGUGGUGGGGGUUUUCAACCAGCUUCAAGAGGUUUCCUUAUCUGAACCCAUCCAAUUGACUUUGGGGCUAUUUUCAGAAAAACAUACCUUUUUGCUGUGAUUCUACUCCAGUAUACUUGCUAGGUUGAGACUUACUUUCAACGCUGAAAGGGCAUACCAAUAACUCCUCAGGGAAAAAAUUACUCUUAGAGUUUCCUGACUCUCCUGAACCAGAACUGUUCUCUCUACAGGCAGAAAUGGAUAAGAUCAACUCUCAACCCUGUAAUACCCCUGACAUUUCUAAACACGUGAACGUUUAUGGGCCUCUUUCUCAAAUGAUACAGGAAGGACUAAAAGGGUGGAACCUAUAAAAGUGCAAAUGGAUCAUUCUAAACCUUUACCUAAAUUACCCCAAUCCACUAAUACCAGAAGCAAUUCAAGGGCUCUCACCAAUUGCACAAGAUUUAAUUAUACAAGGAUUUACAAUUCUGUGUACCAGUCCUUGAAACACUCCAAUCCUACCAGUUAAAAAAAAAAAAAAAGUGGGCAGGGGACAGUGGCUCAUGCCUGUAGCACCAGCACUUUGGGAGGCCAAGGCGGGCAGACAACUUGAUGCCAGGAGUUCAAGACCAGCAUGGUCAACAUAAUGAAACCCCAUCUCUAGUGAAAAUACAAAAAUUAACCAGGUGUGGUGGCACAUGCCUGUACUCCCAGCUACUAGGGAGGCUGAAGCAGGAGAAUUGCUUGAACCCAAGAGGCAGAGAUUGCAGUGGGCCAAGAUCACGCCACUGCACUCCAGCCUAGGCAACAGAAUGAGACUCCAUCUCAAAAAAAACAAAAUACCAAAACCAAAUGGAUCAGGUUGGAGAUUCGUUCAAGAUUUAUGGGCAGUUAAUAAAAUUGUAAUAUCAAGGCUUUCUGUGGUUCCAAAUUCUAAAACUUUAUCAUCUAAUUUACCCUCUGAUUCAAAGUGGUUCAUAGUAACAGACUUCUGCUCAGCCUUCUUUAGCAUUCCAGUUUAUAAAAACAGUCAGUAUUUGUUUGCUUUUAUUUAGAAAAGCCAGCAGUACCCCUGUACUAUAAUGCCACAGAGGUUUACUGAAGCCUAUUUGUAUUUUUCCCAGGCAUUGAAUCAGGAAUUAAUAACCCUACAGUUUCCUUGAAAUUCUAUUCUUCUAUUUUCCUUUUUAUUUUUCUUUAUUAAAUGUAUAUUUUUUAAUAGAGAUGAGGUUUUGCCAUGUUGCCCAGGCUGGUCUUUAAUUCCUGAGCUCAAGCGAUUCACCCACCUCAGCUUCUCAAAGCACUGGGAUUACAGACAUGAGCCACUCUGCCUGGUCGAAAUCCUAUCCUAAUUCAGUAUGUAGAUGGCAUGUUAUGCUCUCCCACUAAAGAGUGCUCUGGGCCAGGCAUGGUGGCUCACGCCUAUAAUCCUAACACUUUGGGAGGCCGAGGCGGGCAGAUCACUUGAGGUCAGGAUUCCAAGACCAGCUUGGCCAACAUGGUGAAACCUUGUCUCUACUAAAAAUACAAAAAUUAGCUAGUCAUGGUGGCUCCCGCCUGUAGUCCCAGCUACUCAGGAGGCUGAGGCAGGAGAAUCACUUGAUUCUCAGGAGGUGGAGGUUGCAGUGAGCCUACCGAGAUUGCACUACUGCACUCCAGCCUGGGCGACAGAGCAAGACUUCUUCUCAAAAAAAAAAACAAAAAAAAAAAGCUGGGGGAGGUUCCAAGAUGGCCAAAUAGGAACAGCUCCAGUCUGCAGCUCCCAGCAUGAGCGACGCAGAAGAUGGGUGAUUUCUGCAUUUCCAACUGAGCUUUGAAGAGAGCAGAGCUUCUCCCAGCACAGAGUUUGAGAUCUGAGAACAGACAGACUGCCUCCUCAAGUGGGUCCCUGACCCCCGAAAGUAGCCUAAGUGGGAGACACCUCCCAGUAGGGGCUGACUGACGCCUCAUACAGCUGGGUGCCCCUCUGAGACGAAGCUUCCAGAGGAAGGAUGAGGCAGCAACAUUUGCCAUUCUGCAAUACUUGCUCUUCUGCGGCCUCCACUGGUGAUACCCAGGCAAACAGGGUCUGGAGUGGACCUCCAGCAAAAUCCAACAGACCUGCAGCUGAGGGUCCUGACUGUUAGAAGGAAAACUAACAAACAGAAAGGACAUCCACACCAAAACCCCAUCUGUACAUCACCAUCAUCAAAGACCAAAGUAGAUAAAACCACAAAGACGGGGAGAAACCAGAGCAGAAAAGCUGAAAAUUCUAAAAAUCAGAGCACCUCUUCUCCUCCAAAGGAACACAGCUCCUUGCCAGCAAUGGAACAAAGCUGGACGGAGAAUGACUUUGAUGAGUUGAGAGAAGAAGGCUUCAGACGAUCAGUAAAAACAAACUUCUCCGAGCUAAAGGAGGAUGUUCAAACCCAUCGCAAAGAAGCUAAAAACCUUGAAAAAAGAUUAGACGAAUGGCUAACUGAAUCAACAGUGUAGAGAAGUCCUUAAAUGACCUGAUGGAGCUGAAAACCAUGGCCCAAGAACUACGUGACGCAUGCACAAGCUUCAGUAGCUGAUUUGAUCAAGUGGAAGAGUAUCAGUGAUUGAAGACCAAAUGAAUGAAAUGAAGCGAGAAGAGAAGUUUAGAGAAAAAAGAGUAAAAAGAAACAAACAAAGCCUCCAAGAAAUAUGGUACUAUGUGAAAAGACCAAAUCUACGUCUGAUUGGUGUACCUGAAAGUGACUGGGAGAAUGGAACCAAGUUGGAAAACACUCUGCAGGAUAUUAUCCAGGAGAACUUCCCCAAUCUAGCGAGGCAGGCCAACAUUCAAGUUCAGGAAAUACAGAGAAUGCCACAAAGAUAAUCCUCAAGAAGAGCAACUCCAAGACACAUAAUUGUCAGAUUCACCAAAGUUGAAAUGAAGGAAAAAAUGUUAAGGGCAGCCAGAGAGAAAGGUCGGGUUACCCACAAAGGGAAGCCCAUCAGACUAACAGCGGAUCUCUCGGCAGAAACUCUACAAGCCAGAAGAGAGUGGUGGCCAAUAUUCAACAUUCUUAAAGAAAAGAAUUUUCAAUUCAGAAUUUCAUAUCCAGCCAAACUAAGCUUCAUAAGUGAAGGAGAAAUAAAAAACUUUACAGACAAACAAAUGCUGAGAGAUUUUGUUACCACCAGGCCUGCCUUACAAGAGCUCCUGAAGGAAGCACUAAACAUGGAAAGGAACAACCAGUACCAGCCACUGCAAAAACAUGCCAAAUUAUAAAGACCAUCGAGGCUAGGAAGAAACUGCAUCAACUAACGAGCAAAAUAACCAGCUAACAUCAUAAUGACAGGAUCAAAUUCACACAUAACAAUAUUAACCUUAAAUGUAAAUGGGCUAAAUGCACCAAUUAAAAGACACAGACUGGCAAAUUGGAUAAGAGUCAAGACCCAUCAGUGUGGUGUAUUCAAGAGACCCAUCUCACAUGCAGAGACACACAUAGGCUCAAAAUAAAGGGAUGGAGGAAGAUCUAUCAAGCAAAUGGAAAAAAAAAAAAAGCGCAGAGGUUGCAAUCCUAGUCUCUGAUAAAACAGACUUUAAACCAACAAAGAUCAAAAGAGACAAAGAAGGCCAUUAUAUAAUGGUAAAGGGAUCAAUUCAACAAGAAGAGCUAACUAUCCUAAAUAUACAUGCACCCAAUACAGGAGCACCCAGAUUCAUAAAGCAAGUCCUUAGAGACCUACGAAGAGACUUAGACUCCCACACAAUAAUACUGGGAGACUUUAACACCCCACUGUCAACAUUAGACAGAUCAACGAGACAGAAAGUUAACAAGGAUACCCAGGAAUUGAAUUCAGCUCUGCACCAAGCGGACCUAAUAGACAUCUACAGAACUCUCCACCCCAAAUCAACAGAAUAUACAUUCUUCUCAGCACCACAUUACACUUAUUCCAAAAUUGACCACAUAGUUGGAAGUAAAGCACUCCUCAGCAAAUGUAAAAGAACAGAAAUUAUAACAAACUGUCUCUCAGACCACAGGGCAAUCAAACUAGAACUCAGGAUUAAGAAACUCACUCAAAACUGCUCAACUACAUGGAAACUGAACAACCUGCUCCUGAAUGACUACUAGGUACAUAACGAAAUGAAGGCAGAAAUAAAGAUGUUCUUUGAAACCAAUAAGAAUAAAAACACAACAUACCAGAAUCUCUGGGACACAUUUAAAGUAGUGUGUAGAGGGAAAUUUAUAGCACUAAAUGCCCACAAGAGAAAGCAGGAAAGAUCGAAAAUUGACACCCUACCAUCACAGUUAAAAGAACUAGAGAAGCAAGAGAAAACACAUUCAAAAGCUAGCAGAAGGCAAGAAAUAGCUAAGAUCAGAGCAGAACUGAAGGAAAUAGAGACACAAAAAGCCCUUCAAAAAAUCAAUGAAUCCAGGAGCUGGUUUUUUGAAAAGAUCAACAAAAUUGAUAGACCACUAGCAAGACUAAUAAAGAAGAAGAGAGAGAAGAAUCAAAUAGAUGAAAUAAAAAAUGAUAAAGGGGAGAACACCACCGAUCCCCCAGAAAUACAAACUACCAUCAGAGAAUACUAUAAACACCUCUAGACAAAUAAACUAGAAAAUCUAGAAGAAAUGGAUAAAUUCCUGGACACAUAGACCCUCCCAAGACUAAACCAGGAAGAAGUUGAAUCUCUGAAUAGACCAAUAACAUGUUCCGAAAUUGAGGCAAUAAUUAAUAGCCUACCAACCAAAAAAAGUCCAGGACCAGAAGAAUUCACAGCUGAAUUCUACCAGAGGUACAAAGAAGAGCUGGUACCAUUCCUUCUAAAACUAUUCCAAUCAAUAGAAAAAGAGGGAAUCCUCCCUAACUCAUUUUAUGAGGCCAACAUCAUCCUGACACCAAAGCCCGGCAGAGACACAACAAAAAAAGAGAAUUUUAGACCAACAUCCUUGAUGAACAUUGAUGCAAAAAUCCUCAAUAAAAUACUGGCAAACCGAAUUCAGCAGCACAUCAAAAAGCUUAUCCACCAUGAUCAAGUUGGCUUCAUCCCUAGGAUGCAAGGCUGGUUCAACAUAUGCAAAUUGAUAAAUGUAAUCCAUCAUAUAAACAGAACCAAAGACAAAAACCACAUUAUUAUCUCAAUAGAUGCAGAAAAGGCCUUCGACAAAAUUCAACAGCCCUUCAUGCUAAAAACUCUCAAUAAACUAGGUAUUGAUGGGAUGUAUCUAAAAAUAAUAAGAGCUAUUUAUGACAAACCCACAGCCAAUAUCAUACUGAAUGGGCAAAAACUGGAAGCAUUCCCUCUGAAAACCGGCACAGGGAUGCCCUCUCUCACCACUCCUAUUCAACAUAGUGUUGGAAGUUCUGGCCAGGGCAAUCAGGCAAGAUAAAUAAAUAAAGGGUAUUCAAUUAGGAAAAGAGAAAGUCAAAUUGUCCCUGUUUGCAGAUGACAUGAUUGUAUAUCUAGAAAACCCCAUCGUCUCAGCCCAAAAUCUCCUUAAGCUGAUAAGCAACUUCAGCAAAGUCUCAGGAUACAAAAUCAAUGUGCAAAAAUCACAAGCAUUCUUAUACACCAAUAACAGAUAAACAGAGAGCCAAAUCAUGAGUGAACUCCCAUUCACAAUUGCUUCAAAGAGAAUAAAAUACCUAGGAAUCCAACUUAUAAGGGAUGUGAAGGACCUCUUCAAGGAGAACUACAAACCACUGUUCAACGAAAUAAAAGAGGACACAAAUAAAUGGAAGAACACUCCAUGCUCAUGGAUAGAAAGAAUCAAUAUUGUGAAAAUGGCCAUACUACCCAAGGUAACUUAUAGAUUCAAUGCCAUCCCCAUCAAGCUACCAAUGACUUUCUUCACAAAAUUGGAAAAAACUACUUUAAAGUUCAGAUGGGACCAGAAAAGAGCCUACAUUGCCAAGACAAUCCUAAGCCAAAAGAACAAAUCUGGAGGCAUCAUGCUACCUGACUUCACACUAUACUACAAGGCUACAGUAACCAAAACAGCAUGGUACUGGUAACCAAAACAGAGAUAUAGACCAAUGGAACAAAAUAGAGUCCCCGGAAAUAAUACCACACAUCUACAAUCAUAUGAUCUUUGACAAACCUGACAAAAGCAAGAAAUGGGGAAAGGAUUCCCUAUUUAAUAAAUGAUGCUGGGAAAACUGGCUAGCCAUAUGUAGAAAGCUGAAACUGGAUCCCUUCCUUACACCUUAUACAAAAAUUCAUUCAAGAUGGAUUAAAGACUUAAAUGUUAGACCCAAAACCAUAAAAACCCUAGAAGAAAACCUAGGCAAUACCAUUCAGGCCAUAGGCAUGGGCAAGGACUUCAUGACUAAAACGCAAAAAGCAAUGGCAACAAAAGCCAAAAUUGACAAAUGGGAUCUAAUUAAACUAAAGAGUUUCUGCACAGCAAAAGAAACUACCAUCAGAGUGAACAGGCAAGCUACAGAAUGGGAGAAAAUUUUUACAAUCUACCCAUCUGACAAAGGGCUAAUAUCCAGAAUCUACAAAUAACUUAAACAAAUUUACAAGAAAAAAUCAAACAACCCCAUCAAAAAGUGGGCAAAGGAUAUGAACAGACACUCCUCAAAAGAAGACAUUUAUGCAGCCAACAGACACAUGAAAAAAAUGCUCAUCAUCACUGGCCAUCAGAGAAAUGCAAAUCAAAACCACCAUGAGAUGCCAUCUCACAUCAGUUAGAAUGGGGAUCAUUAAAAAGUCGGGAAACAACAGGGACUGGAGAGGAUGUGGAGAAAUAGGAAUGCUUUUACACUGUUGGUGGGACUGUAAACUAGUUCAACCAUUGUGGAAGACAGUGUGGCGAUUCCUCAAGGAUCUAGGACUAGAAAUACCAUUUGACCCCGCGAUCCCAUUACUGGGCAUAUACCCAAAGGAUUAUAAAUCAUGCUGCUAUAAAGACACAUGCACACGUAUGUUUAUUGCAGCACUAUUCACAAUAGCAAAGACUUGGAACCAACCCAAAUGCCCAUCAAUGAUAGACUGGAUUAAGAAAAUGUGACACAUAUACACCAUGGAAUACUAUGCAGCCAUAAAAAAGGAUAAGUUCAUGUCCUUUGUAGGGACAUGGAUGAAGCUAGAAACCAUCAUUCUGAGCAAACUGUCUCAAGGACAGAAAACCAAACACUGCAUGUUCUCACUCAUAGGUGGGAAUUGAACAAUGAGAAAAUUUGGACACAGGGUGGGGAACAUCACACACUGGGGCCUGUUGUGGGGUGGGGGGAGGGGGGAGGGAUAGCAUUAGGAAAUAUACCUAAUGUAAAUGACAAGUUAAUGGGUGCAGCACAGCAACAUGGCACAUGUAUACAUAUGUAACAAACCUGCAAGUUGUGCACAUGUACUCUAGAACUUAAAGUAUAAUAAUAAACAAGUAAAAAAAUAAAACUGUAAAAUAAAUAAGAGUGCUCUGAUACCAAAGGGGUUGAAUGAGAAAAAAAA